GACGAACGCUGGCGGCGUGCCUAAUACAUGCAAGUAGAACGCACAGUUUAUACCGUAGCUUGCUACACCAUAGACUGUGAGUUGCGAACGGGUGAGUAACGCGUAGGUAACCUGCCUGGUAGCGGGGGAUAACUAUUGGAAACGAUAGCUAAUACCGCAUAAUAUUAAUUAUUGCAUGAUAAUUAAUUGAAAGGUGCAAUUGCACCACUACCAGAUGGACCUGCGUUGUAUUAGCUAGUAGGUGAGGUAACGGCUCACCUAGGCGACGAUACAUAGCCGACCUGAGAGGGUGAUCGGCCACACUGGGACUGAGACACGGCCCAGACUCCUACGGGAGGCAGCAGUAGGGAAUCUUCGGCAAUGGACGAAAGUCUGACCGAGCAACGCCGCGUGAGUGAAGAAGGUUUUCGGAUCGUAAAGCUCUGUUGUAAGAGAAGAACGGGUGUGAGAGUGGAAAGUUCACACUGUGACGGUAUCUUACCAGAAGGGACGGCUAACUACGUG
rnacentral:rRNA from 1 species